UGAGUAACGCGUGGGUAACCUGCCCUUAAGUCUGGGAUACCAUUUGGAAACAGAUGCUAAUACCGGAUAAAAGCUACUUUCACAUGAAAGAAGUUUAAAAGGCGGCGUAAGCUGUCGCUAAAGGAUGGACCUGCGAUGCAUUAGCUAGUUGGUAAGGUAACGGCUUACCAAGGCGAUGAUGCAUAGCCGAGUUGAGAGACUGAUCGGCCACAUUGGGACUGAGACACGGCCCAAACUCCUACGGGAGGCAGCAGCU
rnacentral:rRNA from 1 species